CUGAGGUGUUGGCGCAGCGGUUUUGCGCUAGGAGCUGGGGUCCGAAGGGCCAGGCAUGAGGUCUCUGCAUGCAUCCCCCUAGGAGCAAGUGAAACUAAAGAAAGCACAAAGGAGAAAAAAAAGGAAAAAAAUAAAGAAUGGUAUACAUUCAAACCUCUGUGCCAUAAUAAAGAAAUACACCGAGUCACAAUAACUGGAAAGGACUACUGAGAGUGUUGGAGAGCUCAGAUAAAGUUUAUAAUGGAAACCAUGAAAAGGAUUGGAAAGCUGUCAUCGUUUGCUAAUACAUUCUGCAAUGACUGCUUAAAAGCAAAACAUGGAAUUAAAUGUCAACCACACUUGAUUUGGAAACUAAGCCUUUCUCAUGUUUGACUUAUGCUGGGAUACUGACAUCUGAGCCACGAGUUCCAUGAAAUGCACUUUGGGAUACGUAAAUAAAG